rnacentral:misc_RNA from 1 species
GAAGUUGCUGAAGAGAGAAUUUAGUGCUUUUAGAUACUCCUCAUUCACAGAUCCAGUGGCCCAUAAAUCUUUUUCAAUAGCAGCAGUUAUAGCUCUGACUGUUUCACUAGACGCAUACUCUUGAAUGGUGUGAUUGGAGAAUAGAAGUUUAAUAAACAUUGCUGCCUGGACAGAUGUAUCUGGAUCGCUCGAACCAAUAAAAUCCAAUACAACCUGAACACCA